AAAUUGAAGAGUUUGAUCAUGGCUCAGAUUGAACGCUGGCGGCAGGCCUAACACAUGCAAGUCGAACGGUAACAGGAAGCAGCUUGCUGCUUCGCUGACGAGUGGCGGACGGGUGAGUAAUGUCUGGGAAACUGCCUGAUGGAGGGGGAUAACUACUGGAAACGGUGGCUAAUACCGCAUAACGUCGCAAGACCAAAGAGGGGGACCUUCGGGCCUCUUGCCAUCAGAUGUGCCCAGAUGGGAUUAGCUAGUUGGUGAGGUAACGGCUCACCAAGGCGACGAUCCCUAGCUGGUCUGAGAGGAUGACCAGCCACACUGGAACUGAGACACGGUCCAGACUCCUACGGGAGGCAGCAGUGGGGAAUAUUGCACAAUG
rnacentral:rRNA from 1 species